rnacentral:rRNA from 1 species
UACGGAGGGUGCGAGCGUUGUCCGGAAUCACUGGGCGUAAAGGGCGCGUAGGCGGUUUGGUAAGUCACGUGUGAAAUCCCGGGGCUCAACCCCGGAACUGCCUCUGAAACUGCAGUGCUAGAAUCUUGGAGAGGCGAGUGGAAUUCCGAGUGUAGAGGUGAAAUUCGUAGAUAUUCGGAAGAACACCAGUGGCGAAGGCGACUCGCUGGACAAGUAUUGACGCUGAGGUGCGAAAGCGUGGGGAGCAAACAGG